rnacentral:rRNA from 1 species
GAGUUUGAUCCUGGCUCAGGACGAACACUGGCGGCGUGCCUAAUACAUGCAAGUCGAGCGAACCAAUAAGAAGCAUGCUUUUUGUUGGUUAGCGGCGGACGGGUGAGUAACACGUGGGUAACCUGCCUGUAAGAUCGGGAUAACUCCGGGAAACCGGUGCUAAUACCGGAUAGAUUAUCUUUCCGCCUGGAGAGAUAAGGAAAGAUGGCUAUU